GCAAUCUUAGUUUAAUUAAAAUAAUGGUUUGUCUCAUCAUUGAUGAUCUUUUGAUUAGAUUGCU
rnacentral:tRNA from 1 species